AGGAGAGUUACUGUGUCAGUGUUUCUGAGGUCGUCAUUUCCACACCGACAGCUGACACCAUGGGCCGCCUUCUGCUUUUACUCACGCUCACCUGUUUAAUAGGUGCUGUAAUGGUACAAGCACAACUCAUAACACAGUUCCAAAUCUGUGAGAUGCAAUGCUUCCAGGAUAAGAAUCUCCCAAGCGGUGUGACGUUUGAUAACCAGGAGGCCGCAGAAUGCCGAGAUUAUUGUGUUUUACACGCAUAUGACCACAUAAUGGGCUGAUUGAAACAUCCUUUGUCCGGCGAUACCCACUGGGCAUUUAUAUCAAUUAUCUAUUGAUGUUUUAUCAUAUGGAAAAAUACAAUUAAAUACUUAUUCGUAAA